rnacentral:rRNA from 1 species
UACGGAGGGUGCAAGCGUUAUCCGGAUUCACUGGGUUUAAAGGGUGCGUAGGCGGGUUGGUAAGUCCGUGGUGAAAUCUCCGAGCUUAACUCGGAAACUGCCGUGGAUACUAUCAAUCUUGAAUAUCGUGGAGGUAAGCGGAAUAUGUCAUGUAGCGGUGAAAUGCUUAGAGAUGACAUAGAACACCAAUUGCGUAGGCAGCUUACUACACGAUCAUUGACGCUGAGGCACGAAAGCGUGGGGAUCAAACAGG